GGGGCUGUAGCUCAGUGGUUGAGCACUUGCCUUGUAUGCAUGAGGCACAGGGUUUCCAUCGUCAUCACCA
rnacentral:tRNA from 1 species